AGAGGGAUGUGUUUAUUUAUUGAGAAGAGUCGACUUUCUGUUCUGACAAGUUCUAGUUCUUUGACUUCUUUCUGUUUGAGCUUCUGUUCGAGAACGGACAUUAGGUUGAUGUCUGACCUGUUUGCAUGCAGAUGGUUUCGUUGCAGCCAGCUGGUGAAAGGGAAGGUCAAGUUGACCUGCAGCUACUGCAAAUAGGACUUUUUUCAUCCUAAAGGGUGAAAUUGUUACAUAAAGUAUAACCUCAGUCAAAGACAUCUUGAAUUAGUAAUAAAAUUAAAAUUAUUUUUCUCAACUGGGGAAAUUCCAGGGUUUCAUUAAAAUGUUAGGUCCAAGUUUAACCCUGAUCUGAAUAAUCUGAUGUAGGAAGUUAUUAAUGUAAAAGCAGAUAAAAUGGCUUUAUGCUGGGGUUUUUGUAAAAGUCACCUGCUUGUUAAGCAUGUGAUAAGUUAGAAUUUUCUUUCUGAUCUACCUGGAACACAAAUAACCAUCUCUUUUCACAAAAUUUUGAAUACAACUUUGUCUUGUGGUUUUUUGUAGUAUUUUAAUUUGCUUGGAUUGAAAUUUUAAGUUGAACACUAGACAUAUUGUCUUCCUUUACACGUUUUUUAAACAUUUGGUUGACUGUACAAUCUGUUAAUUCAUCAUGUUGAUCUUCUACUCAAACAUCUUUAACUACUGUUCUAUCUAAAUUUAAUAUUUCGCUUUGUGCAUAUUGAAGUUUAAAUAUAUUAUCUUAUCUUUCAAAUUCAUCCAUUAACUUGUGUAAAAUUUGCCUUUAUUAUUGUAGUUUCAUAAGGCAAAAAUUAAUAAAUAUUUAAAAAUAUAGCCUUUAUUUCCAGAAAAAACAUAACAAAUUUAAUAUAAUUUCAAUUGCAAAAAUAAUUACGAUGACACACUUGACACCUACCUAAACUAAUCCAUAAAAAGUUGAACAUAUAUGUGAAAGGGAAAGUAAUAGAAAAUGGAGAGGACUGCUGCCUUACCAAUUUAAUUAGAUGCCAAGUCCCUAGAGUGAGGAUCGAAUGAGCCAGGGACGUGCUGUUGUGAGACAAGAUAGUGUAGAAAGGACUUUACAUCUUCGCCAUCAUUUGUGAUUAUUAACAUUUGCUGUUGCCUUUGCCUUACAGUAUGACACAAUGAAUAGAAACACAUUCUGAAUAACGGUAGCACCUUACCAACUUGGUGUUUUUCCUUUCAGCAAUCCACUGUUCAAGUGCUGUUGCCCGGGUGCUGAAACGUAUGGAAUCAUUUACUGAUGCCAUAGAGGAGGCACGUGAACGAAUAUCACUGCCUUCCCAGUUCCCAUCAUUGUAGAAGUUGGACUGGCGUCCAUUAUCACCUCGGGGAUUUCGUCUGUUGUGAUUCUGCGUGGUGGCUUCUUGGUGAAAUUUUACGGGGAGAAUAUUACAUGGCGUGGUGAUUGUGUCAUUUAUGGAAUGGCGGUUUGCUGUCAAAAGUUAAGCUAUCCUUUCUUCGAAAAUUACCAACAAAUUCAUA